AUUGAACGCUGGCGGCAGGCCUAACACAUGCAAGUCGAACGAGUGGCGGACGGGUGAGUAAUGUCUGGGAAACUGCCCGAUGGAGGGGGAUAACUACUGGAAACGGGAGCUAAUACCGCAUACCAUCGGAUGUGCCCCGAUGGGAUGAGCUAGUAGGGGGGGGAAGGGCUCAACUCGGCGACUAUCCCUAGCCGGUCUGAGAGGAUGACCAGCCACCUUGGUAAUGAGACACGGUCCAGACUCCUACGUGAGGCAGCAGUGUGGAAUAUUGCACAAUGGGCGCAAGCCUGAUGCAGCCAUGCCGCGUGUAUGAAGAAGGCCUUCGGGUUGUAAAGUACUUUCAGCGAGGAGGCGUUACUCGCAGAAGAAGCACCGGCUAACUCCGUGCCAGCCGCCGCGGUAAUAC
rnacentral:rRNA from 1 species